rnacentral:lncRNA from 1 species
GACAGGCACUGGCUCCAAACAUGGCAAGCACAUGGUAAAACAGAGUGACACCAUUUAGCUGCUUUGAUAGAAAUAGACGAGAAGAGUGCGCCAAUACACAGGGGUCUCUGAGAUCUGCCAGCCAAUCUUCACUCGUGGUCCGUUCGUAAAGACAGCCUCUAUUUGUCUUCCUUCUCAGGCAGCGAGAGGAGAAAGCGUUAGCUCCUCACUCAUCUCCCAGCAUGGGGAGGGUUCCUUUCCUUCUGCGAUAAUUCACUGCGCCCGUCUGAAAGGAUUACUCACUCUGCUAAUUAUGAACAAAACACACUGUAAUUAUGAACUGGAGUGGAUUUAUUUGCUGUACCCCCACUCUAAUUAUGCAGGCAAGAGGAGCUCCAAAAUUGGCCCGUCCAGAGGAACAAUAGUACAUGUGUCCAGCGAGGUGGAAAGGUUUUCUAAAGGGCUAGGAGAGGCUUUGUCAGGAGACAACACAGACACAAUUAGGUCAUCACUCUUCUGCAGCCUACCUUGAGCUUCUGAAGCUUAGAAAAUGGAUGAGCCUUAACAUCUGAAAAAUAGGCAAUUGUCUUCUUGAAUCUUGUCUUAAGUGAGUAAAUAUUUUAGCAUCGCCUCCUUUGGAGUGAGUCCUCGC